rnacentral:rRNA from 1 species
UACGAAGGGGGCUAGCGUUGCUCGGAAUCACUGGGCGUAAAGCGCACGUAGGCGGAUUGUUAAGUCAGGGGUGAAAUCCUGGAGCUCAACUCCAGAACUGCCUUUGAUACUGGCGAUCUCGAGUCCGGGAGAGGUGAGUGGAACUGCGAGUGUAGAGGUGAAAUUCGUAGAUAUCCGCAAGAACACCAGUGGCGAAGGCGGCUCACUGGCCCGGUACUGACGCUGAGGUGCGAAAGCGUGGGGAGCAAACAGG